rnacentral:rRNA from 1 species
GAUGAACGCUAGCGGGAGGCUUAAUACAUGCAAGUCGAACGGUAAGGUCCCUUCGGGGAUACACGAGUGGCGAACGGGUGAGUAACGCGUACACGACCUACCUUUAAGUUUGGGAUAGCCCUGGGAAACUGGGAUUAAUACCGAAUGUGAUAAUAGUUUUAAAUUAUUAUUAAAGCUCCGGCGCUUAAAGAUGGGUGUGCGUACUAUUAGCUAGUUGGUAGAGUAACGGUUUACCAAGGCUACGAUAGUUAGGGGGCGUGAGAGCGUGACCCCCCACACGGGUACUGAGACACGGACCCGACUCCUACGGGAGGCAGCAGUAAGGAAUAUUGGACAAUGGGGGCAACCCUGAUCCAGCCAUCCCGCGUGUAGGAAGACUGCCCUAUGGGUUGUAAACUACUUUUAUCAGGGAAGAAAAGUUGGCAUUUAUGCUGAUCUGACGGUACCUGAGGAAUAAGCACCGGCUAACUCCG